ensembl:lncRNA
CUGUGAAGUGGGCAGGCACAAAGCCAUCUGCCGUGACUUAUGCAACAGAGGUUCCUUAAAAGGCCAUAGAUUUUCUCUGGGGAAGCUGAACAAAGUGUCUGCUGCAGCAGGUCUGAAAGAGAAUAUGAUCUGAAUGGCAGUUGAGCAACAAAGCAACUUGCAGGAGUGGCGUUAAAUGGUAACAAUUUAUUUCUUCAAGAUUACUCAGAGGUAUCACUAUUAUCCCUCAUAUUGGCACAGGCAUGUACUUACUCGGUGAAGACACUACACAAUAAAGUGGAAGAAAAGGCAAGGCAUAGAAAAAGAUUUCCCAGAAUGGCAAGUUUUCAUCACAGGUUUUCAUCAUCUCAAUUCUCUACAUUUUCCUUCUCCAGCUACACAGAAAGAAUUCUAAGCACUG